GGUUUGUGGCUCAGUGGUAGAGCACUCGCCUUGCAUGUGUAAGGCCCUGGGUUCGAUCCUCAGCACCA
rnacentral:tRNA from 1 species